AGUGAACGCUGGCGGCGUGCCUAAUACAUGCAAGUCGAACGGAGUGGCGCACGGGUGAGUAAUGUAUAUCUAAUCUGCCCUACACUAGAGGCCAACAGUUGGAAACGGCUGCUAAUACUCUAUAGUUUAGGAUGAGGCUAUAUUGUAUCAGAUAGUUGGUGAGGGAAUGGCUCUCCAAGGCUAUGACGGAUAACUGGUCUGAGAGGAUGAUCAGGCACCCUUGAAGUGAGACACGGUGCGGAAUCCUACGGGAGGGAGCAGUAGGGGAUCUUGCUAAACGGGGGAAACCCUGAAGCAGCAACGCCGGGUGGAGGAUGAUACUUUUGGGAGCGUAAACUCCUUUUGUUAGGGAAGCGUUACCUAACGAAUAAGCACCGGCUAACUCCGUGCCAGCAGCCGCGGUAAUUC
rnacentral:rRNA from 1 species